rnacentral:rRNA from 1 species
UACGUAGGUGACAAGCGUUGUCCGGAUUUACUGGGCGUAAAGAGCGCGCAGGCGGUCGAUCAAGUCGAGUGUGAAAGCCCCCGGCUCAACUGGGGAGGGUCAUUCGAUACUGAUCGACUCGAAGGCAGGAGAGGGUAGUGGAAUUCCCGGUGUAGUGGUGAAAAUGCGUAGAUAUCGGGAGGAACACCAGUGGCGAAGGCGACUACCUGGCCUGUUCUUGACGCUGAGGCGCGAAAGCUAGGGAGCAAACGGG